AAGCGUUACAAAUGGGAGCCUCUGAAGAAGGACGUUGAGCUGGGAAACUCUACCUAUCCCAUGGUUCUCGUUCAAGUCCCAAUGUACAACGAAAGAGAGGUAGCACAACAGAUUAUCUUUCUCCAUCUGUUUUCACUCACUCGUCUUUGACGUGCGUUUUUUCAUAUUUCUGAAUGCAGGUUUAUCAGCUCUCAAUUGGUGCCGCUUGUGGGCUUUCUUCAUGGUAUUUAUUCUUAACCUCUACAGGUUAAUGCUGUUGAAGUUUUUAUGACAGAUGUUAAAACAAGUGAUGGGGCUUGUUAUCUAGCACUCAAGGUAUCCAAAUCCAAGAUGCAUCGUGAUUUUUGGGGUUUUUAAGAAAACUAUGGCUAUCGUUAUGAGGGUGAUCAUACUCGAGCCUUACUUCCUUGUGAGAGUGAAGGAGAAAACAUGAAGGCCGUGUGGAGCCCUGAUGCCAAAUUAAUUGUUAUUCUUACAUCUACCUUCUUUCUUCAUAGUUUCAAAGUCCAGUUCUCAGAUAAAAGAAUACACACUGGUGGUAGACAACCCUCUGCUCUCUACCUAGCUAUAAUUUCUCUUCUGCUUACAGAGCAAGUUCCUUUUGCAGUAAAGGAUUUGUAUGUGUGAGUUUCCUUCUCGUUUUAAUUUUAUAAUUUUCUUC
rnacentral:sRNA from 1 species